GAUGAACGCUGGCGGCGUGCCUAAUACAUGCAAGUCGAGCGAAUGGAUUAAGAGCUUGCUCUUAUGAAGUUAGCGGCGGACGGGUGAGUAACACGUGGGUAACCUGCCCAUAAGACUGGGAUAACUCCGGGAAACCGGGGCUAAUACCGGAUAACAUUUUGAACCGCAUGGUUCGAAAUUGAAAGGCGGCUUCGGCUGUCACUUAUGGAUGGACCCGCGUCGCAUUAGCUAGUUGGUGAGGUAACGGCUCACCAAGGCAACGAUGCGUAGCCGACCUGAGAGGGUGAUCGGCCACACUGGGACGGAGAAACGGCCCAGACUCCUACGGGAGGCAGCAGUAGGGAAUCUUCCGCAAUGGACGAAAGUCUGACGGAGCAACGCCGCGUGAGUGAUGAAGGCUUUCGGGUCGUAAAACUCUGUUGUUAGGGAAGAACAAGUGCUAGUUGAAUAAGCUGGCACCUUGACGGUACCUAACCAGAAAGCCACAGCUAACUACGUGCCAGCCGCCGCCGUAA
rnacentral:rRNA from 1 species